ensembl:lncRNA
GCCUGGAGAUGAUUUUUCCUUGGUCAAGGACAUCCUCCUUUGCAGCCUCCCCCAGCUCCGCUCUGCCUUCAUCUCUGUUUUGAUCUCUCUCCCAGUCAGCUUGUCUUGCUGCUCUCCGCUCUGCCUUCAUCUCUGUUUUGAUCUCUCUCCCAGUCAGUGUCAGGAUGAGCUUGUCUUGCUGCUGUCCGCUCUGUCUUGCGUGCCCUGUGGGAAUGAGUUUCAGAAAGCACUACUCACUGAUAGGAAUCGAGGGAACACUUAAAAGGCCUUGCACAUAAAUCCUGGCAGUGUACUGCCAGCAGCUGAUUUGGCCGUCCAGGAUCCUGUCACCACAAAUGCUUCAUAGCCAAAUGCAGCGAUACAGUGUCUUGGGGAAAAGCUAACUCACAGAUAUUUUUUCCACAUCCACAGCAUAGGAACACAGGCCAGCAUCAGCACGGACAGCAGCACAGCGGAGACCACAGCAAUCACUGGGAUGUGGUGUUUUCGCAGCUCUUCGCCAACAGCGGCCGUUGUGAUUUUCCCAACAUCCACCCCUGGAAGAACCGAGACAAUGCCGCAGGUUACUGUCAUCUGCGCUGCAGAUGAUCUCACAGUGUGCUUCAUGGACCCAAGAGGUUUCCUUUAUCAUCAGUGGGUACCUCCAUCUCUGGUGUAUAAGCACCAGAGGACAAGAAGGAUUGCUUCCACUUCUCGUUGGGUAGGGAGAGGCUGCACCAGCACUCUGGGCUCAGGGCUGGGGCUCUGCCCUGGGGUCUGGGCUUUGUCCGUCGGGAGCAGUGCAGAGCAGAAACCCUCACACUUUCCCCAGCACACACGUCCUGAGCUCUCCACCAGAACAUCCCCCAGGCUGAAGGUCGGCCUCCAGCCAGCACAAGGCACAGCUGGAGCCAGCCCAGCAGAGAAACACUCCUGCAGGCUCCUACCACACAGGGCCAGGCUCAUCGCCCUCGCGUUCCUUUAUAGCAUGUGCUCUGUACUAGCCUGCUCACGUUUGGCUGCCGGCCUGCUGCGCAAGAGCAAGGCAGGAAGGGCCUGGUGGCACACAGUGAUUCUGGUUGGUG